rnacentral:rRNA from 1 species
UACGUAGGGUGCAAGGCGUUAAUCGGAAUUACUGGGCGUAAAGCGUGCGCAGGCGGUGAUGUAAGACAGGUGUGGAAAUCCCCGGGCUUAACCUGGGAACUGCAUUUUGUGACUGCAUAGCUAGAGUACGGUAGAGGGGGAUGGAAUUUCCGCGUGUAGCAGUGAAAUGCGUAGAUAUGCGGGAGGAACACCGAUGGCGAAGGCAAUCCCCUGGACCUGUACUGACGCUCAUGCACCGAAA